CGGGGCGUAGCUCAGUUGGAUAGAGCAUGUGCCUUCUAAGCACACGGUCGCUGGUUCGAGCCCAGUCGCCUCGG
rnacentral:tRNA from 1 species